rnacentral:lncRNA from 1 species
UUAAAAAGAAAAGAAAUGGAGGGACUGGACUAUGCAGGAAGUAUUUUCCAUGGAUGGUGAUUCCAACUAAAGGAAAGAGAGAAAAGUACACUGACGUUGACCAAGACCUUGAGGGGACUAAGAGGGAAAGUGAGAGCAUCACAUAACGAGAGCUGACGUCAAGGCUGGCCCAAUCAAGAAACGGCCUCAAAACCGUACAAUGUAGGAAACAGAAUCAUCACAAAGAAAAACAAUGUGAUCUUGGAACAGUGGCGACCUCAAAGCACAUCUCUACAUCUUGAUAAGAAAAAAGAGGAGACGUAGAAAAUCCCCCAGAACCAGACUCCAGUUUGGCUUACGGUCUGUCAUAACAUCACAGGCACCAGGAGUGGGCUCUUUGGUGAUGAGAGCGGAACUGAAAAUGGAAAUGGAAAUCAAACACACAGCCCCAGUCAGGUCCCAGGUUAGCUGACCUGCUCCUAAUGCCUGCUGGGCUCAGGCCAGGAUAUCGGUGGAGGCCCCUGGUCCGCGGCCCAUUCCCCUUCUCUUGCCAUCCCCACCUGGUCAUUGUAACAAGGGGCCUCGCACAUGAGUGUGGACACCCGGGGCUGCAUGUUUGAGCUCCAACCAUGUCCACGUCUCAGCCACAGCUGGCCAUUCUCAGCCGAGGCAUGGGCACACAAGUGGCCCCAGGGAAGAUGAACUCAGUGCAGGCCCUGGCAGCUAGCAAAGGGGCAUUUGGGCAGAGAAUUAUAGAAAAGGAAGGAUCUGGGGGUCCAGGGGACAUGUCCCUUUGCCCUGCAGACCUCUUUCCCCUUUAGGGAGCCACAGCCAGAGUGGGUGCCUCUUGGAACAUAUGACCUUAUCUCUUUGGCCCAGAGAUGACAUCUUCUGCUAUCCCAAGUGUGAGCCGUUUUGGUCUCAGAAGAAAAGUCCCCUCGUCUUCCUUUCAGGGAAAAGUGCUGAAGAGGGCAGGAGACUGGUGGUUUGAGACCUGCCCCUUAGAAACCAUGUGACCCUGUGCCGUGACUGACCUUCCUAGACCCAGCCCUGUGUGUACAAAAUGAAGACAAAUACCUACCUCGCCACCUUGUUGGCAGGACUCAAAGGAUGACAAAGUGCCAAGCAAAUGGAUGUUUUCUUAUGGAGAGCCAGGGAGGUAAAUAUGAUCCAGGGGAAACAGCCCUGGGCCUCUGGAAAUGAUCAGUCUGUUCCAGGAAUAAUACCUACCUAAAGGAUGCUGUUAAGGACUGAAUAAGGAAGUGUGUGUGCAAAGGCACCUGGCACCCAGGAAGACCGCAAAAACUAUUCAUGGUGGAGGUGGUGGUGCUAGUGGCGACCAUUCCUGGUGGUGCUGGUGGUGCCGGUGGUGCCAGGCACCUGCAGCAGGUAUUUGGCUAAAUUACGUAAUUUAAUGAUCACAGUAACCAAAGAGGUGCAUUCCUAUAGCGCAGAUGGAAAAAGUGGGACCAAGGUCACAGGGUUCAUGAGUGAGCAGUGAGGCCAGGAAACACAUGCCUGUCUGUCUGCAUCCGAUUCCUCUUCCUGCCACACUCAGCACCACCUGGCCGGUUGUCUUGCAGACUCUGGGGAUAAUUCAUUCACAACACUCUUACCUGCUCACAGCAGGAAGCCUGUUCACAGCACCCCAGGCCAGAUCAGCCAUGGAGACAUUUAUACUAGACACUGUGGGCCACCUGGAUGCCAACAGACACACAAGAGCGCCUUGUGUUCCCAUCCACAUCAACUCAGCUCAUCAAAAAACCCAUCCCAGGGAAAAUGAGCUUGCUAAUAAACCAACUAACUAAGCCUAACAAGAAAUAACAGCAAAUUUUGAGGCACUUUACAAGGAGAGUCACACCCAGGUACUUGUUGGACCCAAGAAGACUCAGGUAGCAAGGCAGGGAGUGGCUCAUGACAACCGCCCGGAAGAGUCACGUCUAUUUAGUUCUCGAAAAUAAUGGAAAACAAACUCGGUUUUCGCAAGUGGUAUGCUGUGUACACUGAGUCCACAUCAGGUGUUCUUGAAUUCUCUGAUAAAUAAAAACCACAAGCAACUGUGGCACCACCGGGCUGGAGGGAAGCGCCGGCUCGCACCUGUCAAUACGAGCAGCCUGGGGGCCUUAUGGGACAGACCCUUUUUCUGAACUAGUGGUGCUGGAGUGAACACCUUCCAGGUCCCCAGGGCUCGCCCCUCACCCUGAAAAGAUUAAAUCAUUUAUUUAUAAGAAAAUAUCUAACCCAAAUACAGCAGGCACUGGGGGGCACAGGGAGCUGUGGUUACAAUGCAAGCAACAUCUGGACCUGCAAACUCAUGAUGCUGCCACAAGAAGCGUGUGCAAGGAAGGUGUUCCACGGCACAGCAGGGGAGACAGAUUUUGUAGAAGAGGUCAAGGUGAGGAUGGCGCCUCAACAGAAUCUUCAAAACCAAAAGGCAAGUUGCGGUACCCGCUGACCCUCCGCCAUGCAGAGACUGCCGCGGACGCCGAAACACCCUCCUCCCCGUCAGGCUGGCUUGUCCCCGGGCAUCUGAACGAGCCAACCUGACAGGAUGGGUGCUCAGCGGAGGACACUCUCUGAGAAGCCUGAGAUGAUGGGGAAACCCACUCUCUAGGGCUGGCUUCCAGCGCAGCUGUUUGGAGAAAGAGCUACCCUGGAGAACCUUAGUCACUGCUACAGUGGUAGAGAAGACGGAGCACAGGAGUAGCUCCUCAGGGAGGAGGGACACAGACCACACCCCCAGCUCCUUGGUGACCUCCAAGGGAACCAGCUGGACGGCAGCAAAUGGGCUUUUCCCCCGGCUUUUUCUCAGCUCGCUGUGAACCCGGCCCAGAUGCAUCCCAUGCUUACUCAUAGAGUAAAGCAAGCCAGGUAUGAGGCAGUUACAAGCCAGCAGUUUUUUAUGUGAUUGAUUCUAUCUUCUCUGGAGAUGCCCCAAGAUUCUCUGGAAACAGUUAGGCCUCAGUAUUUCCUAGCCAAGGAGCAAGCUUCCAGGAAAUGAGCGAGUGAGCCUCCAAUUGUAUAUGUAGACGUAAAAACAGCAUGCAUGCCCCUCCACCACCAAGCCUUUUUCAUUUCCAAGCUUUUCUCUAAUCACCAGGAUCCAAACACCUCCAGCCCAGCUCCCAUCCCCGCCCUCCUCCUCAGCCUUGGGCCCACCCACCUCUGUCUUCACAAAAGGUGCCCCGCUGGCCGGCACCACAGAAAACAUCCAAGCCCAAGGUACUCAUGGUUUGUGUGUAAAGGGUUUUUAUUGGAGAGCCUGUGGCGCUGAAGUGCCACCAAGGAUUUGGAAGGUCACUUUCAGCAGCCGCCAUUUCUGCCAGGACCAGUGGCAAGCACCUGGCAGAUGGAGCCCGGGUGUUUCUGCGUAAGGCAGAGGAAUCCAGCUUUUCCAUGAGAUUCAGCUGCAGUUGUCGAAAACCCUGUGUGAGCCAGCAGUUCCAGUUCAAAGGUUGAGGGGGCGAACAGCUGCGAGGUGGCCAGGCUCCCGUGAGUCACCACUCAGGCCUGAGUACACCGUGGAGAGGAGAGAUAAAGCAGCCACGGCUGUUCUGUUGCCAGUCCCACCCCUCUGGCAAACAGAUGGGGGAAAACAGAGAAGGAAAGUCAACAAAGAAGGUGAAAUGCAGGGAGCAGAGACUACACGCAGGCCCCCCGUGGCUGGCAAUACCAUGCGUGCUGGGCCGGCUGCGCCACCCUCACCCAGGGCUUCCCACGGGCUCUGCUCUUUCCUGCAGAGGCGAAACUGCCUUCCUGGCAGGCGGAGGCUGCCGAGCUCCCAUGCCCCUUCCCACAUAUCCCAACUCUUCUCAGAAAACUGAAGAACCGAAGAUGGAGGUGAGUCAGGAAAGGCUGGAGUUUUCAUCCAAAAAAAAAAAGAGCAGGACAAUAAACAGGCAAAUACACAAACCCUGGAGCAAAGCCAGGAAAAAAGGGGGAGAUAAAAAAUAAAAAAAUAAAAAACACCUUUCUAGAGAGAGCAAAAUCCCAGGGUCCCGAAGGCACUGCUAAUAGACUAAUAGAAGCAUCUUUGUUGCAGCCAAUCACCUCUAGCCUGGGAACACCGCUAGUCAGGAGGCCUCAAUCAACCUGAGAAGUCAGCCCAAGGCCCUGUCUCCAGAAGCCAGCAGCAGAUCCCUGGGUCAUGUCACAGGCAAGUCCUCACUUCACCAGCUCAGAGGUGAGCCACUCUCACCUGAACCUCUGCCUUCCGGCAGGGACCUCCUGGGUCCUGUGGGGUCUCCUGGGUCCAGGUGGGUUCCUAGUCCAGCCCCGUCUAGACUGACUUCAAAUAUAGUCCCCUGACAGUGUGAUUUUUUCCAGCCAGCCAAAUCACCGUUCAUUUUUAAAAUGGUUUUUAAAAAUUACAUUUCUAAGGCAAACAACGUAGAACUGUGACAGAGCAGAGGAACAACAAAAAAGCACAAAGAAUGUUGCUAAUCACAGGCUGCCUAGCACUUUCCUUUCCCUUCAGAGAAGGAGAAACUGUUUUAUAGGUAUCACACACGUGCACACGCACACACGUGCACACACACACACACACACACGCACAGUUUUUCCCUGAUACUGGAAAUUCUUUGUGAACUAGCCACGCUGAUUUCUGCUGAACCUUUUUUUUUUU